rnacentral:hammerhead_ribozyme from 1 species
AUCCAUCUGACGAGUCCCAAUUAGGACGAAAUGAUCAUACGGGAU